rnacentral:rRNA from 1 species
ACGUAGGGGGCAAGCGUUGCUCGGAAUUACUGGGCGUAAAGGGUGUGUAGGUGGCUGAUUAAGUUAAGGAUGAAAUCCCGAGGCUCAACUUCGGAACUGUCUUUGAUACUGGUCAGCUUGAGGUUCGUAAAGGAGAGGGGAAUUCCCGGUGUAGCGGUGAAAUGCGUUGAUAUCGGGAGGACCACCUGUGGCGAAGGCGGUUAACUGGAAUGGACCUGACGCUGAGUCACGAAAGCUAGGGGAGCGAACAG